rnacentral:lncRNA from 10 species
CAAGCUGGCAUUUCAGCAUUGGGUUUAAACUUUAGAGCAACAUAUGAAAAUCUCCUGAAUAAACUUGUCAAUGAUUAUGGUCAUCAAAACUUAGUAUGAUCAAGGAAACUGGUUUUUGCAUAAUAUUCUGAAUAUUUAAACUCCACAGAGCUUGAAUAAAUGAAGUACAAAUUAAACAUAUCGAUUUUUUUCUUUUGGUACAUGGUCUAUGUUAUUGCAGAUUAGCAUCCCAAAUCCCAAAAUCCCAAAUUUGAAAUGCUUCAAAACUGAAACCUUUUGAGCACUGAUAUAAGUCUCAAGGGAAAUGCAUUUUGGAUUUCAGAUGCUCAACCAGUAAGCACAUAAUGCAAAUAUUAAAAAAUCUGAAAUCCAAAACACUUCUGGUCCCAAGAUAUGGGAUACUCAUCCUGUACCAUGGUAAAUGGUUAGUUCUUCCUUGGCUUAUGCCAGUGGUUCUUGAUUUAAGCCCCAGGAGAUAUUGGAAAUUUCUGGAAACAUUUUUGGUUGUCAAAGCUUGGGGGUGGAGUAUGUUUCUGGCAUCUAAUGGGUAGAGGCCAGGGAUGCUGCUCAAUCUUAUAAUGCAUAGGACAGGCCCCAGAAGAAAGAAUUGCCUGGCCCAAAAUGUCAAUCACUAGUGCUGAGGUUGAGAAUUCUUGACUUAGGCCAUAGCCGUUCCACAGCUCAAGUCACAGUUGCAUUCCUUUAGUUGAACCUUACAGUUCAGUUGUUCUACUCAAUAUUUGAAUGCUGAAGGAAGACUGGCCCUCUAGGGUUGUAUUUCUAGAACAGGGAGAAUGUAGUACUUUGAGGUUGCAUGCUUUAGAAUUAGUCAUUAUGUGAGUUGGAAGACCAUUUGAUUCUUUAUUAGAAGUUAGCAAGUGUGCCAGAUUAGACCUUCACCCAAGAACGUCAUGAGGGUUAAUGAGAGGUUUUUAAAAGAUAAUAGUUAUCUUUGUUUCAUGUUUAACAACUUUAUGCAUUGGCUGGUCAUUCCAGCUCCACAGAAAGCUCUUCAGUUGAGUUUCAAUUACAGCCCGCAAUUCCAGAUGCUACAACAUUUUAACUGUGGCUGCCAGAUAUCAGUGAGAUUCACAGGCCUGGAGUACAACAUUCUUUACAAUGUGUGCUUCAUAUUUUGAAGGCCAUCUGUCUCAUUUUCAUCUACAAUUGGCUCUGCCGAAGUUUUGCAUGCCAAAUGAUAUUUUUUAAAAUAAGCUUUUGUGCUACUUUAAAAAUGUUUCAAAAAUAUCUUCGAGAUACAAUUCACACACCAUGAAAUUCAGCCAUUUAAAGUGUACAAGUCAGUGGUUUUUAGUAGAUUCACAAAGUUGUGCAACUAUCACUACAGUCUAAAUUUAGAACACUUUCAUUACUCCAUAAAGAAACCCCAUGCCCAUUAGCAGUCACUCCAGUUCCUCUCCUAGUCCUGGGCAACCACUAAUGUAAUUUCUGUCUCUAAAGAUUUGCCUGUUCUUAUGAGGAGUGGCGGUGUACACCUGUAGUCCCAGCUACUUGAGGAGGCCAAGGCAGGAGGAUCAUUUAAGCCCAGGAGUUUCAGGCUGCAGUGAAUUAUGAUACUGCUACUGCACUCCCAUCUGGGUGACAGAGUGAGAACCCAUCCUCUAAAAAAAAUAAAGAUUUGCCUAUUCUAGACAUUUCUUAUAAACAGAAAUAUACAGUAUUUUGGGACUGCUUUUUUUCACUUAGCAUAAUGUUUUUAAGGUUCAUCCAUGUUGUAGCAUGUAUAAGUAUUUCAUUUCUUUUUUGUCCAAAUCAUAUUCCAUUAGAAGUAUAACCAUAUUUGAUUUAUCCAUUUAUCGUUUGAUAGGCAUUUGGGUUGUUUCCACAUUUGCCUACUAUAAAUAAUGCUGCUAUAAAUAUUCACAUACAAGUUUUUCUGUGAACACAUGUUUUCAUUUCUCUCCAUUAUUAUUAUAGGCUGAACUGUGGCUCCACCAAAUUCAUAAUUUGAAGUCCCAACCCCUAGUAUCUCAGGAUGUAACUGUAUUUAAAGAUAAGGUGUGUAUAGAGGUGGUUAUGCUAAAGUAAAGCUGCUAGGAUGGGGGCUCUAAUCCCGUAUGAAUAGUGUCCUUAUAAAAAGCCAUCAGGGGCCUGUCCGCACAGGGAAACACCAUGUGAGGAUACAGAAAACAACCAUCUGCAAGAAAGGAGAGAGAUCUUAGAAGAAAACAGACCUGCCAGCACUGUAAUCUUCAACUGCCAGGCUCCAAAACUGUAAUAAAUAAAUUUCUGUUGUUUAAUUUACUCAGUCUGUGGUAUUUUGUUAUGGCAGCUCUAGCAGACUAUUACAGGUAAAUACCUAGGAGUAGAAAUGUUGGGUCAUGUGGUAACUCCAUUUAACACUCCAGGUACCUGCCAGACUGUUCAUAUGAGUUUUUGUAUGAAUAUAUGUUUUAUUUUCUCUUAAGUACAUAGGAGUGGCAUAGCUGCUAGGUGUACAUUUAACUAUUUAAGACACGGAUAAAUGGUUUUCCAAAGCAGCUGUACCAUUUUACAUUCCUACCAGCAAUGUUUGAGGGUUCCAAUUUUCUGUAUCCUUAACAAAACUUGUUAUUGUCUAUCUUUUGACUAUAGUUCAGGGACUAAGCUCUGAUUUUUAUCUUGCCCAAAUUCCUACCUAAGAGGUCUGGGGAGUCAUGUCCUACAAACCAUGGAUCCUCAUCAGAUGGCUUUUAUUUGACCAUGUAUAUUGUGACUUGCUUUUCAAUCUGACUCUGGCGUGACAUUAUGAGACAAGGAAAUAAUAUUUAGCCCCAUAAUAUAUUUCCUUGCCAUGCCUCGAAAUUGCCCUGCAAAGUCUCUUGUGGGAAAAAUCCACAUUCCAUAGAAAAUCUCCUUCCCCUUUUAUUUUCUUUCCUUUCUUUGCAGAUCCAGUGGAUAAUCAACUAAGAGCUAGGCAUCCUUUUAGAUUUGAUAAGAAACAUUUUACAACCUACCCUCUCUCUGAAGUCUGCCAUCUGAGAGAUUCUUCUGAACAAUAAAACUGGUUCUCCACAAUCCUUUAUCUUAACCUGAACAUUCCUUUCUAUUGAUCCCAAGUCUUUAGACAAAUUCAACCAACUGUCCACCCGAAAAUGUUUAAAUUUACCUAUAGCCUGGAAGGCCCCACUUUGAGUUGUCUCACCUUUCUGAACCAAACCAAUGUAUUUCUUAAAUGUAUUUGAUUGAUGUUUUAUGCCUCUCUAAAAUAUAUAAAACCAAGCUGCACCCCGACCACCUUGGGCACAUGUUCUCAGGACCACCUGAGGGCUGUGUCACGGGCCAAGGUUGUUCAUAUUUGACUCAGAAUAAAUCUCUUCAAAUAUU